UUCUCUGGGCUCCCUAGCCCCUGCUCUACCGCUCACGGGAGACUGUGACCUUGGACCAGUUACUUCGACUCACCACCCCCAAACUUCUGUGCCUUCAUUUAUCCACCUCUUAACUAGACAGAUGAUCAUACUGAUGAACUAGGGGAUCAGAACAAUAAAGGAGAGAUCAAACAUCCGAACGCCUUAGCUGCGCUAUAAAGCCCAUGGAGCACUGCAGCGUUAUCAAGGAGCCAAAUGAAAAUCAGAGCAGAAAAAACGUCAAGCAGAUUCCCCCACCAGAGGAUAACUGCUAAAAGGAAAACGUAGCUAGCAGUAGAAGGAACGAGUGACCAAGGUGUCUCUGCCAUUAAUUGACUUGGGACCUUCUCCUAUCAAGCAUUAUUGUCCUGCCUUUUUCUUCUCCCCACUGGCUCCUUCCUUUCUGCUUAAGGGCAUGGUUCCUCCAGUGAUCCUGCUUAUCUUCCUCCUCACAGUUGAUCUUGGAGAUACAAGUUGUUUUCAAGUGGACUUCCCAUCCACUGAAAAAGGCUGCUUCAUGGACAACCAUUUAUAUGCUCAAGGAAGGAGGUGGAGGACUAAAGAUUGUCAAGACUGUUUGUGUUUCAAGCAACAUAUGACUUGCUGCCUCAUCUACCUAAUUCCCACUGUAUUCGACAGGGAAAACUGCGUAGAUAUCUUUGACCAGAAGACCUGUACAACUCACAUUGUGAGGAAGUCCAACCCUGCUAAGAAGUGUGAAAUUCUGGGUGCUUUAGGUUAAAGUCUUGGAAUUUCUCUCCCAUGUCAAUAAAGGAAAGGAGUUCACCGAGAUCUGGAGAAGGAAGAAUUGUUCUAUAGGAUGGAACUCCCCUCAUCCCUAGCUCCAAAUUCAUUGUAUUCUCCCCACUUCUCACUUGGUUGCAUAUAACCUAUUUUCCUCUGCUGCUGUGGAUUAUAAUUUUUCAUCUGCUAAAUGCAGAUAAUCUUCCUCAAGCUUCAUUACAUUUUGGUGUAUUAUUGUUCAUGGAAAGAUUCUUCUUUAAUGGAUUUCCUCUUUAGUUUGGGAGUGGUAGUACAACCAUUUUGAAAAGCAAUUUGAAUUAUGCAAAUAAAGUGACUAAAAUGUCCAAACUCUUUGAACCAGAGAUCACUGGGCUUAUACCCGAAAGAAGCCAUCAAUAAGAAGUCCCUAU